rnacentral:rRNA from 1 species
GAUGAACGCUGGCGGCGUGCCUAAUACGUGCAAGUCGAGCGAACGGACGAGAAGCUUGCUUCUCUGAUGUUAGCGGCGGACGGGUGAGUAACACGUGGAUAACCUACCUAUAAGACUGGGAUAACUUCGGGAAACCGUAGCUAAUACCGGAUAAUAUUUUGAACCGCAUGGUUCAAAAGUGAAAGACGGUCUUGCUGUCACUUAUAGAUGGAUCCGCGCUGCAUUAGCUAGUUGGUAAGGUAACGGCUUACCAAGGCAACGAUGCAUAGCCGACCUGAGAAGGUGAUCGGCCACACUGGAACUGAGACACGGUCCAGACUCCUACGGGAGGCAGCAGUAGGGAAUCUUCCGCAAUGGGCGAAAGCCUGACGGAGCAACGCCGCGUGAGUGAUGAAGGUCUUCGGAUCGUAAAACUCUGUUAUUAGGGAAGAACAUAUGUGUAAGUAACUGUGCACAUCUUGACGGUACCUAAUCAGAAAGCCACGGCUAACUACGUG